UACCAUGUCUCCCUUUGAACAUGGCGAGUUUUUUGUUCUUGAUGAUGGUGGAGAGAGUCCUUCAGUCAUGGAGUACAAAGCUCUGGGUUAAAUGUAAUUGUUCCCUGUCAUGUUUCUUCAAACUGUAUCAAAGGUAGUGGAUGAAGAUAUUGGAGAUGAUGAAACCAAGUUUUGUGCCUCUAUAGUCAUCUAAGAUCACAUAGAAUAUCAACG